AAGACUCUACUUUCAGGGAUCAUUUCUUUAGUCUGGAACUAGAGGAUUGUGUUUCUACAGAGGUUGGUCUGGCUGUCCAUGAUGAUGAUGAUGAUGAUGAU
rnacentral:snoRNA from 1 species